rnacentral:rRNA from 1 species
UACGUAGGGGGCAAGCGUUGUCCGGAUUUAUUGGGCGUAAAGCGCGUGUAGGCGGCCAGGUAGGUCCGCUGUGAAAGCCCGAGGCUCAACCUCGGAACUGCCUUCGAUACUGCGGGUCUCGAGUCCGGGAGAGGUGAGUGGAAUUCCUAGUGUAGAGGUAAAAUUCGUAGAUAUUAGGAAGAACACCAGUGGCGAAGGCGGCUCACUGGCCCGGUACUGACGCUGAGGCGCGAAAGCGUGGGGAGCAAACAGG